AACGAACGCUGGCGGCGUGCCUAACACAUGCAAGUCGAACGGAUUGAAGGGGCUUGCUCCUUCAGUUAGUGGCGCACGGGUGAGUAACGCGUAGAUAAUCUGCCUGAUGAUCUGGGAUAACAGUUCGAAAGGACUGCUAAUACCGGAUAAGCCCACGUGGUCUUUGGACCGUGCGGGAAAAGGGGGGGACCUUCGGGCCUUCUGUCCUCAGCUGAGUCUGCGUACCAUUAGCUAGUUGGUAGGGUAAUGGCCUACCAAGGCUACGAUGGUUAGCUGGUUUGAGAGAAUGAUCAGCCACACUGGAACUGAGACACGGUCCAGACUCCUACGGGAGGCAGCAGUGGGGAAUUUUGCGCAAUGGGCGAAAGCCUGACGCAGCAACGCCGCGUGAGUGAUGAAGGCUUUCGGGUCGUAAAGCUCUGUCGAGGGGAAAGAAGUGUAUUGUGGUUAAUACCCGCGAUACUUGACGGUACCCCUAAAGGAAGCACCGGCUAACUCCGUGCCAGCAGCAGCCGCGGUAA
rnacentral:rRNA from 1 species